rnacentral:rRNA from 1 species
GACGAACGUUGGCGGCGUGCUUAAUACAUGCAAGUCAACUGAAGCAGUGGUAGCAAUAUCGCUGUGGAGGUGGCGCACGGGUGAGUAACACGUAGGUAAUCUGCCUUCAGGUCUGGCAUAACUCCGGGAAACCGGGGCUAAUAGCAGAUGAUGCAGCGGCUCGACAUCGAGACAGUUGUUAAAGCUAUGGCGCCUGAAGAUGAGCCUGCGUCUGAUUAGCUAGUUGGCGGGGUAACGGCCCACCAAGGCAACGAUCAGUAGCUGGUCUGAGAGGAUGAUCAGCCACACUGGAACUGAGACACGGUCCAGACUCCUACGGGAGGCAGCAGUAAGGAAUAUUGCUCAAUGGGAGAAAUCCUGAAGCAGCAACGCCGCGUGAGGGACGAAGGGCCUUUGCUUGUAAACCUCUGUAGUGAGAGAAAAAAAUCCCAAUCUUUGGGACAUGAUGGUAUCUCAAAAGUAAGCCCCGGCUAACUACGU